rnacentral:rRNA from 1 species
CGUAGGGUGCGAGCGUUAAUCGGAAUUACUGGGCGUAAAGCGUGCGCAGGCGGUGAUGUAAGACAGAUGUGAAAUCCCCGGGCUCAACCUGGGAACUGCAUUUGUGACUGCAUUGCUGGAGUGCGGCAGAGGGGGAUGGAAUUCCGCGUGUAGCAGUGAAAUGCGUAGAUAUGCGGAGGAACACCGAUGGCGAAGGCAAUCCCCUGGGCCUGCACUGACGCUCAUGCACGAAAGCGUGGGGAGCAAACAGGAUUAGAUACCCUGGUAGUCCACGCCCUAAACGAUGUCAACUGGUUGUUGGUCCUUCACUGGAUCAGUAACGAAGCUAACGCGUGAAGUUGACCGCCUGGGGAGUACGGCCGCAAGGUUG